rnacentral:lncRNA from 1 species
CCCGGUGCUCCAAGACAGAACCCCCGGGUACACUCUGUCCUUGACACAGUGGCUGGCUAGUGCUUCACCCUCCUUGGUCUCACUGAGUGGUCAAGUUGCCCAGGCUGAGCUCGAACUUGCAAUCUUCCUGCCUCAGUCUCCUAAAUUCUGAGAUCACAGGUGUGAGCCAGCAGGUAUGGCUUAGUAUUUUCAAACUAAGAUUAAAAAG